AGCGUACACGGUGGAUGCCCUGGCAGUCAGAGGCGAUGAAGGACGUGCUAAUCUGCGAUAAGCGUCGGUAAGGUGAUAUGAACCGUUAUAACCGGCGAUUUCCGAAUGGGGAAACCCAGUGUGUUUCGACACACUAUCAUUAACUGAAUCCAUAGGUUAAUGAGGCGAACCGGGGGAACUGAAACAUCUAAGUACCCCGAGGAAAAGAAAUCAACCGAGAUUCCCCCAGUAGCGGCGAGCGAACGGGGAGGAGCCCAGAGCCUGAAUCAGUGUGUGUGUUAGUGGAAGCGUCUGGAAAGGCGCGCGAUACAGGGUGACAGCCCCGUACACAAAAAUGCACAUACUGUGAGCUCGAUGAGUAGGGCGGGACACGUGGUAUCCUGUCUGAAUAUGGGGGGACCAUCCUCCAAGGCUAAAUACUCCUGACUGACCGAUAGUGAACCAGUACCGUGAGGGAAAGGCGAAAAGAACCCCGGCGAGGGGAGUGAAAAAGAACCUGAAACCGUGUACGUACAAGCAGUGGGAGCCUCUUUAUGGGGUGACUGCGUACCUUUUGUAUAAUGGGUCAGCGACUUAUAUUCUGUAGCAAGGUUAACCGAAUAGGGGAGCCGAAGGGAAACCGAGUCUUAACUGGGCGUUAAGUUGCAGGGUAUAGACCCGAAACCCGGUGAUCUAGCCAUGGGCAGGUUGAAGGUUGGGUAACACUAACUGGAGGACCGAACCGACUAAUGUUGAAAAAUUAGCGGAUGACUUGUGGCUGGGGGUGAAAGGCCAAUCAAACCGGGAGAUAGCUGGUUCUCCCCGAAAGCUAUUUAGGUAGCGCCUCGUGAAUUCAUCUCCGGGGGUAGAGCACUGUUUCGGCAAGGGGGUCAUCCCGACUUACCAACCCGAUGCAAACUGCGAAUACCGGAGAAUGUUAUCACGGGAGACACACGGCGGGUGCUAACGUCCGUCGUGAAGAGGGAAACAACCCAGACCGCCAGCUAAGGUCCCAAAGUCAUGGUUAAGUGGGAAACGAUGUGGGAAGGCCCAGACAGCCAGGAUGUUGGCUUAGAAGCAGCCAUCAUUUAAAGAAAGCGUAAUAGCUCACUGGUCGAGUCGGCCUGCGCGGAAGAUGUAACGGGGCUAAACCAUGCACCGAAGCUGCGGCAGCGACGCUUAUGCGUUGUUGGGUAGGGGAGCGUUCUGUAAGCCUGCGAAGGUGUGCUGUGAGGCAUGCUGGAGGUAUCAGAAGUGCGAAUGCUGACAUAAGUAACGAUAAAGCGGGUGAAAAGCCCGCUCGCCGGAAGACCAAGGGUUCCUGUCCAACGUUAAUCGGGGCAGGGUGAGUCGACCCCUAAGGCGAGGCCGAAAGGCGUAGUCGAUGGGAAACAGGUUAAUAUUCCUGUACUUGGUGUUACUGCGAAGGGGGGACGGAGAAGGCUAUGUUGGCCGGGCGACGGUUGUCCCGGUUUAAGCGUGUAGGCUGGUUUUCCAGGCAAAUCCGGAAAAUCAAGGCUGAGGCGUGAUGACGAGGCACUACGGUGCUGAAGCAACAAAUGCCCUGCUUCCAGGAAAAGCCUCUAAGCAUCAGGUAACAUCAAAUCGUACCCCAAACCGACACAGGUGGUCAGGUAGAGAAUACCAAGGCGCUUGAGAGAACUCGGGUGAAGGAACUAGGCAAAAUGGUGCCGUAACUUCGGGAGAAGGCACGCUGAUAUGUAGGUGAAGCGACUUGCUCGUGGAGCUGAAAUCAGUCGAAGAUACCAGCUGGCUGCAACUGUUUAUUAAAAACACAGCACUGUGCAAACACGAAAGUGGACGUAUACGGUGUGACGCCUGCCCGGUGCCGGAAGGUUAAUUGAUGGGGUUAGCGGUAACGCGAAGCUCUUGAUCGAAGCCCCGGUAAACGGCGGCCGUAACUAUAACGGUCCUAAGGUAGCGAAAUUCCUUGUCGGGUAAGUUCCGACCUGCACGAAUGGCGUAAUGAUGGCCAGGCUGUCUCCACCCGAGACUCAGUGAAAUUGAACUCGCUGUGAAGAUGCAGUGUACCCGCGGCAAGACGGAAAGACCCCGUGAACCUUUACUAUAGCUUGACACUGAACAUUGAGCCUUGAUGUGUAGGAUAGGUGGGAGGCUUUGAAGUGUGGACGCCAGUCUGCAUGGAGCCGACCUUGAAAUACCACCCUUUAAUGUUUGAUGUUCUAACGUUGGCCCCUGAUCGGGGUUGCGGACAGUGUCUGGUGGGUAGUUUGACUGGGGCGGUCUCCUCCUAAAGAGUAACGGAGGAGCACGAAGGUUGGCUAAUCCUGGUCGGACAUCAGGAGGUUAGUGCAAUGGCAUAAGCCAGCUUGACUGCGAGCGUGACGGCGCGAGCAGGUGCGAAAGCAGGUCAUAGUGAUCCGGUGGUUCUGAAUGGAAGGGCCAUCGCUCAACGGAUAAAAGGUACUCCGGGGAUAACAGGCUGAUACCGCCCAAGAGUUCAUAUCGACGGCGGUGUUUGGCACCUCGAUGUCGGCUCAUCACAUCCUGGGGCUGAAGUAGGUCCCAAGGGUAUGGCUGUUCGCCAUUUAAAGUGGUACGCGAGCUGGGUUUAGAACGUCGUGAGACAGUUCGGUCCCUAUCUGCCGUGGGCGCUGGAGAACUGAGGGGGGCUGCUCCUAGUACGAGAGGACCGGAGUGGACGCAUCACUGGUGUUCGGGUUGUCAUGCCAAUGGCACUGCCCGGUAGCUAAAUGCGGAAGAGAUAAGUGCUGAAAGCAUCUAAGCACGAAACUUGCCCCGAGAUGAGUUCU
rnacentral:rRNA from 1 species